AUGGCGAUAACUUUAUGGUUGGUCGCGCGGAGCAAAUUGCUAGUUUCUUUAAUCAAAAUUGCUCAAUCAAAAUGCUUCUUAUCACCUUAUUUUUGUCGUGUGUCAUGGCUGAUUUCAAUUACGACUUGGAGAAGUUAACGUUAACCCAUAAAUGUGAUCCUCAAUGCACCUUCAACUAUUCUGAAAUCACAUCUGCCACUUCUCGAUUCUUCCCAACAUCAUGCGAUGCGGUUUGCGGGUUCCUCACUCUGAAUUCCAACACCGACAUGUCACACGAUGAAGUCAAGGCGUUAUUCAAAAAUAUGGCAACCUUAUCCGGCGGGCUACGAUUUGAGGGAACACAUUUCACAGAUUUUUCAAUUUUCCGUCAGAACCCCAAAGAUGACUCGGUUUCGAUUGAUUUUAACUUUGAAUUGGAGUUGCACACCGAUGAGCAAACUCACGAGUGCUCGUUUCAAAUCGAGAACAACGAGAAAUUGGACGCAGGCAAGCUGUGUUCCACUACUCAGUUAAAUGGAAUGUUCAGAGUGAGAGUGUCCGGGAAUUCGAAAAACUGUGGCUGCAAUGGAUAUCAGAUCAACACAGAUACGCUGCACACUUUUCUAAAAUGCAAACUCUGUCCAACAUUAAAGAAGUCAGAGGACUCGUUGACAUUCAGAUGACCAAUCUCAAAAAUUUAUCAGUCCUCAGAAAUUUGAAAGAAAUCUACUCGAAAAACGGGGAAUUCAAUGAGAAUGUGUGUUUUAAUGUGCAGAAUAACCCGGAGAUGACUAGGCUGGCAAUGCCAGCUUUGAAGGAACUCUUCGACGCUCAGCUAGGCCCAUUUAUCAUGAACCUGCGAGACCUUCACCCAGAAUUUUGUAUUACCUACGACGAAAUGAAGCUGUUCAUGGAGAAACGUGUGUAUUUUAUCAAUAUCGACGCGAAAUAUUGCACUGAAGACAAUUUAACGAUUGGCGCCGGAGAUGAGGGAUUCGUUGUUAAAUUGACGAAAGUGUCACAUUUGUUCGGGUCCCUGACAAUACGGAAUACUCUUUUGGAGGAUAUCGAGUUUUUAUCGCAACUGGAGUUUAUCGCAGUGCUCGAUAAUGUUGAUGUCAUUCAAAUUGUAUCGAAUCAGAAUUUGAACUUUGUGUAUUUUCCGUGGAUGAGUGUAAUUAUCACAAGGUACAACCGUACUGUAGUUAUUGAUAAAAAUCCAAAACUAACGUCUCCCGAGUUGUCAAUUUUCAAUGUGCAAUAUGCUACGCGCAUUGCAAUUGUUGGAGAUUCCCUAGGUAAGGGUUUUUUACCUGAAAAUAUUUAA
rnacentral:misc_RNA from 1 species